AACAGGAUUAGAUACCCUGGUAGUCCACGCCCUAAACGAUGUCAACUAGCUGUUGGGGCCUUCGGGCCCUGGUAGCGCAGCUAACGCGUGAAGUUGACCGCCUGGGGAGUACGGUCGCAAGAUUAAAACUCAAAGGAAUUGACGGGGACCCGCACAAGCGGUGGAUGAUGUGGAUUAAUUCGAUGCAACGCGAAAAACCUUACCUACCCUUGACAUGUCUGGAAUGCCGAAGAGAUUAGGCAGUGCUCGCAAGAGAACCGGAACACAGGUGCUGCAUGGCUGUCGUCAGCUCGUGUCGUGAGAUGUUGGGUUAAGUCCCGCAACGAGCGCAACCCUUGUCAUUAGUUGCUACGAAAGGGCACUCUAAUGAGACUGCCGGUGACAAACCGGAGGAAGGUGGGGAUGACGUCAAGUCCUCAUGGCCCUUAUGGGUAGGGCUUCACACGUCAUACAAUGGUCGGGACAGAGGGUCGCCAACCCGCGAGGGGGAGCCAAUCCCAGAAACCCGAUCGUAGUCCGGAUCGCAGUCUGCAACUCGACUGCGUGAAGUCGGAAUCGCUAGUAAUCGCGGAUCAGCAUGUCGCGGUGAAUACGUUCCCGGGCCUUGUACACUCCGCCC
rnacentral:rRNA from 1 species